CAGAAGUUACUGGUUCUGCUGAUGAUGAUGAAGGAAAUCGACCCAAGAUAAAAUUGAAACGAUAUGUUAUUUUGGUUAUGCUGAUUUUCUUGGUGCUAGUGUCACGCCCCGAUCCUGACAUACAUCCAGGAUCAACACUUGACGUCACCAAUACUCGUAUAUCUAACAUAUCCCGCCUCCGGGAUAUGAAUAAAUCACCACUCAAGGUCCAAAUUGCAUAGUAAUUUCCAAAUAUUUUAUGGUUGCAUCUAACCUCCUCGUUAGACUGCCUACGUAUCCUCAAUAGGGAUCAAGCCCUUCGUAGUUCACCAUUUCACUAUAAUCGAACAUUCAUCACAUAAGUCGUUAUGUCCCAACAAAAUAUCACAAUGUAUAUCGUGCAAUCCUUCAAAGAAUAAACGACGAAGCACAAUCAUAUUCUCUC